GGCAGACAGGGGAGAUGGCAGACAGGGGAGAUGGCAGGUGAAGAGAGGGGUGGAGGGAGGAGAUGGCAGACAGGGGAGAUGGCAGACAGAGGAGAUGGCAGGUGAAGAGAGGGGUGGAGGGAGGAGAUGGCAGACAGGGGAGAUGGCAGACAGAGGAGAUGGCAGGUGAAGAGAGGGGUGGAGGGAGGAGAUGGCAGACAGGGGAGAUGGCAGGUGAAG